rnacentral:rRNA from 1 species
UACAAAGGUGGCAAGCGUUGUUCGGAAUUACUGGGCGUAAAGGGCGCGUAGGCGGUCCUGUAAGUCCCGCGUGAAAUCCCCCGGCUCAACUGGGGAACUGCGCGGGAAACUGUGGGGCUUGAGUUCGGGAGAGGGAAGCGGAAUUCCGGGUGUAGCGGUGAAAUGCGUAGAUAUCCGGAGGAACACCGGUGGCGAAGGCGGCUUCCUGGACCGACACUGACGCUGAGGCGCGAAAGCUAGGGGAGCAAACGGG